GUGGGUAGUUUGACUGGGGCGGUCUCCUCCUAAAGAGUAACGGAGGAGCACGAAGGUUGGCUAAUCCUGGUCGGACAUCAGGAGGUUAGUGCAAUGGCAUAAGCCAGCUUGACUGCGAGCGUGACGGCGCGAGCAGGUGCGAAAGCAGGUCAUAGUGAUCCGGUGGUUCUGAAUGGAAGGGCCAUCGCUCAACGGAUAAAAGGUACUCCGGGGAUAACAGGCUGAUACCGCCCAAGAGUUCAUAUCGACGGCGGUGUUUGGCACCUCGAUGUCGGCUCAUCACAUCCUGGGGCUGAAGUAGGUCCCAAGGGUAUGGCUGUUCGCCAUUUAAAGUGGUACGCGAGCUGGGUUUAGAACGUCGUGAGACAGUUCGGUCCCUAUCUGCCGUGGGCGCUGGAGAACUGAGGGGGGCUGCUCCUAGUACGAGAGGACCGGAGUGGACGCAUCACUGGUGUUCGGGUUGUCAUGCCAAUGGCACUGCCCGGUAGCUAAAUGCGGAAGAGAUAAGUGCUGAAAGCAUCUAAGCACGAAACUUGCCCCGAGAUGAGUUCUCCCUGAGACUUUAGGUCUCCUGAAGGAACGUUGAAGACGACGACGUUGAUAGGCCGGGUGUG
rnacentral:rRNA from 2 species